rnacentral:lncRNA from 1 species
UGACAAUGAUUUUUUGAAGAAGAAAGAAGAAAGAAAGAGAAAAAAAUAAAAAGGAAAAAAGCUAAAAUAAUAAGAAAAAUAGGAAAAUAUAUUUUAUAAUAAAGUACUUGUGAAAAUAAAAUUAUAUUGGUUCAUUUAGGUUGCUCACUCUCUUUGAGAGUGUGCACACCACUCUCUAUGUCAGGUGGACGAAAAAUGAUAUAAUAAUAC